rnacentral:rRNA from 1 species
CCCUUAGAUGUUCUGGGCCGCACGCGCGCUACACUGAUGCAUUCAACGAGUCUACAACCUGGUCUGAUAGGGCUGGGUAAUCUUUUGAAUGUGCAUCGUGAUUGGGAUAGAUGAUUGCAAUUCUUCAUCUUCAACGAGGAAUGCCUAGUAAACGCAAGUCAUCAGCUUGCAUUGAUUACGUCCCUGCCCUUUGUACACACCGCCCGUCGCUCCUACCGAUUGAAUGGCUCAGUGAGGCCUUCGGACUGGCCCAGGGAGGUUGGCAACGACCACCCAGGGCCGGAAAGUUGGUCAAACUUGGUCAUUUAGAGGAAGUAAAAGUCGUAACA